UGACAGGGCCCAUGUGUCAGGGGCUUAUCAUGUAAGAAUGCCCAUGGCCAGCUGCAGGUGGAGACCCUCAUGUAGCGACAGCAUGUGCCAGGAAUCCACCAUGAGAGCCCUUAUCAGCCACAGUACCCCCUAACACUCUGGGGCAGGAUUUUUUUUUUUUUUUUUUUGAGACAGAGUCUUGCUCUGUAGCCCAGGCUGGAGUGCAGUGGCAUGAUCUCGGCUCACUGCAACCUCACCUCUCAGGUCCAAGUGAUUCUCCCACCUCAGCCUCCCAGAUAGCUGGGACUACAGGUGCACAUCACCAUGCCCAGGUAAUUUUUUUGUAUUCUUAGUAGAGACAGUAUUUCACCAUGUUGGCCAGGCUGGUCUCAAACUCCUGACUUCAGGUAAUUUCCCCUGCCGCAGCCUCCCAAAGUUUUGGAAUUACAGGCAUGAGCCACUGCGCCCUGCCCGUGGUAGGAUUUCUGCUGUGAGCACUUAGAGGGUUGGGCCUAAGAGCCUGAGGAACCCAGGUGGGAGGCCCAGAGGAGGAAGGGGGCAUCCAGGGCCAGCUCUCCCCAGUUCUCCAUGGGCUGGUUCCUGCCCCAGGCUCUGCAGAACAGUGCUCGACACCACGAGGAACCCAUCAGGCAGUGACACUGGAAGAGACCUGGUCCCUGAUGCCUCCAGGAACCUGAGCACCUGAUCUCCCUCCGCCCCCUCCUGAGAAGCCCACAAGCAGCCCACCUCCUUCCCUAUCUGUUCGCAGCAUCUCAUGCUGGAAACACCUGCUGUUCUUGUCUUCCAGAGCCCUCACCACAUCCAGGCUGACGGCAGAGCUGGAAGUGGAAAGUGUAUUUAUGGAGCAAGACAUCCAGCCCCGGCUUCAGACGCUCCACUCCAGGCCUCUCUGAGAAGACACUGGAAAACUCAGGCAGA
rnacentral:lncRNA from 1 species